AAAUUGAAGAGUUUGAUCAUGGCUCAGAUUGAACGCUGGCGGCAGGCCUAACACAUGCAAGUCGAACGGUAACAGGAAGCAGCUUGCUGCUUUGCUGACGAGUGGCGGACGGGUGAGUAAUGUCUGGGAAACUGCCUGAUGGAGGGGGAUAACUACUGGAAACGGUGGCUAAUACCGCAUAACGUCGCAAGACCAAAGAGGGGGACCUUCGGGCCUCUUGCCAUCAGAUGUGCCCAGAUGGGAUUAGCUGGUUGGUGAGGUAACGGCUCACCAAGGCGACGAUCCCUAGCUGGUCUGAGAGGAUGACCAGCCACACUGGAACUGAGACACGGUCCAGACUACUACGGGAGGCAGCAGUGGGGAAUAUUGCACAAUGGGCGCAAGCCUGAUGCAGCCAUGCCGCGUGUAUGAAGAAGGCCUUCGGGUUGUAAAGUACUUUCAGCGGGGAGGAAGGUGUUGUGGUUAAUAAC
rnacentral:rRNA from 1 species